UCUUUUUAUUUUUUUUUCUUUAUUUUCCCUAUUACAUAUUCUAUGAGUAAAAAGAUCCUAAAAGAUCACCUGCUGAGUGGAAACAGGGGGAGCUCAGAAACAGGGGCAGAUCAGAAUUCAUAAUGACACAUUCCAGCAAGUCAGACUGCAUUGUAAAAGCAGUCUGGACUCAUUAAACAACUUUUUUACCUGCACAGGUUUUCCAGUUGCAGAAAAGAACAACUGGCUUGCCUCAGCAAUAGCCAAAGCACUGGAACAUCCCUUCUGUGACUACUAAUACAUGCUGAGGUACCCAUACCAUUUGGUCUGUCGUUUCAUCUCUUUAGGAGCAUCUGAAUAUCACCUCACUGAAUUCAAGAAAGUAUUGGAGCUGACACCAGAGCCACACUGCUUUGUAACCAGGAACAACCAAUGGCUACCACUACAUUGCUUCAAAAAAUUUCAUAUUUUACCUUCUUUACAUAUAUUUCCUUUAAAAAGAUAAUUUUAAAAAGCAAAAAACAUUCAGAACAUUAAGAAAAUGAUCACGCACAUUGCAAAAUUUUCCAAACAUGCAUUUUCUAAAAAAUACCAAAAUGAGCUGAAAUGGAACUCCUCUCACAAAUAUUGCUGAUUUUGAGGAAGAGGCAUCUUUUCAUGGAAAUGCAUCCAACAGAAACGUUUGUAAUCCACCACAGAAAACUGUACUAGAUCAUCAAAUAACAGACUAAUGGAUAAGCAGUUGUGAAUACCCCAAAAAAUCUUUCUGAAAGUCACUGUGCCACCUGCAAGGACAGACUACAAAGAUCAAUUGCUUUGUGGGUAUUAUUUCAUAAGCAUAAAAGACUAUAGUCCACAGUACUAAAAGGAAUGUACCUGACAGCACUAUUUUGGAUACAUUAAAAUAUGAGCAUAAUUGAGAGCUUGAGAAAUAUACAAUAUAUCUGUGGUAUUUAUCUAAAAAAAUAAAAUUGCAGUGAUAAAGUAGAGGUUCUAAGUUUGGCCGUCUGACACUAAACAGGACCAAGAGAUAAAUAUUGUACCUUUCUGGUUUAUGUACUGAUGAUGAAGUGGGAUUCAAACACAAAGUAGGGCUGUUCCUCCAUCACUGACAAGAGAGCUUGUACACAGAGCUCCUUACUGCUAAUGGCAGCUCUACCCUUAAAAAUAUAAACCCAUUAUGAGAAUGCAGAUCCUGACUAAGGAAAGUUUAAAACUGGAUGGUGGAAAGGGCAAAUAGGGUCAGAACCCGGUCACAAGUUAAGAGCAUGUUAGUGUUUCACACACUGGAUAGAGUCUUCUUGAACUGUUUAUUUUGCAAUGCAAAACCACAAAAAGAGAAUAUAUGUAAACACUAUUUAUGCAUAAAUAAAUCAGACUGGCUUGAAGAGUCACAAUAAAUGCAUCUCCCAUGCUUCUUACAUAUCCUCAUAAAUCAACAUAAAUUUACUUGUAGGAUUUGCUCCUGUGCUCUUUAACUGUACUCCCUGUCAAAGUCAACACCUCCUUGCUAAAAGAUAUGGUUGCCAGGGCAAAGAAUAUGAAAAUUUGUUAAGCAGCGCUAAAGAAAGAGUUAUGGAUUCUGUUCAUUUAGAUGCUUGCUUUCCCACCACUCUCAACAGCUAACUGUACCUUAUUCUGCUCCUAUUAUAAAAUCAAAAUGCAAUAAUGCUCUCUCACCAUUGGAGACAUCUUCAAGCUCCAAAGAGGUAUACACCAUUUUAAUCGUACAAACCCUCUGACCAGCUUUUUGCUCUGUGUUUGUGUGAUGACUGCUGCAGUAGGAUCUUCACCAUUAACGUGUUACAAGCCUCAAGACCAACGCUGUACACAUUACAGCAUUGCACAUGAUAUAACAACAAUAAAUUAAGAAGCACAUAGACAUAUGCUGAUGGUGGUUUCUUUCAUCGAUUUCAAAGUGAACUGAGCUCAGAAACAGAUGUGACACUGCGUUCAUGGUUCAGAUGAAACUCAUUGCCUCAUUCUGUAUUUCUUCUGAUUCCUUUCUAAUUUGGCCUACUGCCAUAACUCAAGAAAUUAUGCCUAGCACUGGGGACAAGCCCUUAAGACAAUUUACAGACAACUGGAUUUGUGUACACCAUCCUUCUAAUGUAAUUGAUAAAGCUCAAAUGGUGUACAUAUCCACAUGCUUUCAUAAUCUGCAUCGUUAUCCGUAAAAUCUCCUGUGCUUUUCUUUUUCCUAGUUUUUACUUAAAGGAGAAAAAGCAGAGCUAUUUCUUCUCUUAAAGAGUAGAACAAGCAAGCCAAAAUAUAGAUACAAAUC
ensembl:lncRNA